CAUUAAUCUAAAGUUAAAUGGAGGGGCAUGUUGGAAGAGUUCAACUGGAUUGCUGCCUGUACUCUACCAUCUGCCCUGGUAUGAUUAUCCGAACUGUCAUUAAGCCAAGAGCCUACCAUUCAAGUGAAAUGCCAGGCUCUGGCCAAAGGGGAGGGCAGUCCAAUAACUUCUAUGGGUGGAUGCCUGUGCCUGGAGAACUUGAGGGGAUGACCUUGCAUAAGAGAAGCCUGCUGAUGACAUUGCUCCAUAUGAGGCACAAGAUUCAAAUAAAGACUGAAAGAUUAAAUGGUAUGUGAAAACCAAAAUUCUCUUAACUUUUAGGAGAAUUAUAGGUUCCUAAUUUGA
rnacentral:lncRNA from 1 species